UAUAUAUAUAUAUCAAAUAUACAUACACACACUUACAUACACAAAGUCAUCACAAGCCUGACCAAAAUGAAACUUUAAACUCUCGUAUUGGGUCUGGUACUUUUAAUUGUACAGAUGUUUGUGCCUUUUUCUUUACUUUGCUUAUAUUCUUAUAAGCAUUUUAGCAGUACCCUGUAUAUAUUUUAGAAUUUGUGUAUCUGCUUUGUAAGAAAUGUAUUUUCUUUCUUUUUUUUUGGACACUUGGGUCUAAAUGUAAAGUAAAAACAAAAAAAAAAGCAUCAAUAUAUAUGUGAGGUUGCACUAAAACAUAUUUUUAUAUGAUUGAAACUUAAAACAGCUUUUAUGUACAGCUCCAAUCCUGUAAUACUAAUAUUUAUUUACUUUGUUUCAUAAAUUGUAAAUUUUUUUCUUAAUGUUGUGUAUUAUUUUUUUUCUAUGUGAAGCAUGGGGUUUACUGUUGCGUAAUUAGAACAAAAAAUGUAUAGUGUAAGCAAGAUAUUUAAACUGAAAAUAUCAUCUUAUUAUGCACUUAUGCAUCGGUUAAACAAAAAAAAAAUAAGGGUGUAUCAGUCAGUUCUUAACUCUUGUAAUUUUUUGUCCCUUGUUUUCUGAAUUUAUUAUAACUUAAGUGCUGAUUGUGUUUUUAAAAUGAUAGUAAUGUAAAGCAUUAAAAGUACAAACAUGUGCUUAUUGUGAAGUUUUUUCUCCCCAGGCUGUGUGACACAGUUAUUAAUAUAUCACAAGUAUUUGGUCUUAUGUGAACAUGUUGCUCUGUAUACUCAGACCAUACAUAUGGGAAAACAUUCCACCCCAUGAACAUGUACAAGUGCAUCACUGGUACAAUUAUAUGUAAUUUUCAGCUGGACACAACCGUCACCAUAUUAAUUUACUGGAGUGUCUUUAAAAAAAAAAAAGAAAAAACUGGUGACAAAGCACAUCAAACUGUAUGGAACUGGGUCAUCCAUUGUGCUAUUUAGUGGAUUCAAAUUCUGUGAAAAAAAAGUUUGUAUAUCGAAUUACAAAUUAUAAAGGAGUGUUCUUUAAAAAAGAAAUAAAUAUACAGUUACAUGCAGAACUUUGUUUCAAAUGUUUCAACUAUUUUAUUUGGUAUGAAGUUAACAGGUAAUCAUUUUUCUGUGAUACAGACUUUUACAAAAUCUUGUUGAUUUUUCUUUUUUUUUUUUGUGACAACGACCUAAAUGGCAAUGGAGAAUUUUAUUUGGAAGUGAACUAAUGUAUUAACAAG